UACGAAGGGGGCUAGCGUUGCUCGGAAUCACUGGGCGUAAAGGGUGCGUAGGCGGGUCUUUAAGUCAGGGGUGAAAUCCUGGAGCUCAACUCCAGAACUGCCUUUGAUACUGAGGAUCUUGAGUUCGGGAGAGGUGAGUGGAACUGCGAGUGUAGAGGUGAAAUUCGUAGAUAUUGGGAGGAACACCAGUGGCGAAGGCGGCUACCUGGACCGGUUCUGACGCUGAUGCGCGAAAGCUAGGGGAGCAAACGGG
rnacentral:rRNA from 1 species